AAUCCCUUAUCGAUUAACAAUUAGAGGGCAAGUCUGGUGCCAGCAGCCGCGGUAAUUCCAGCUCUAAUAGCGUAUAUUAAAGUUGUUGCAGUUAAAAAGCUCGUAGUUGGAUUUCGGCGUGCGCUCAGGCUGGUCGGCCGUCAAGGUCUGUACCGUUUGGGUCACGCCCCACUGUAGGAUACUCACCGCUGUCCUUAACUGGGUGGCGGUCAAGGGGGUGUGCAUGGGGGCAACUCUGUGCAUAUCUCUGGGGUUCCUACUCUUUUACUUUGAGCAAAUUAGAGUGUUCAAAGCAGGCAAUCGAGCCUUGAAUACUUCAGCAUGGGAUAAUGGAACAGGACUGGGGUCCUGAUUUCGUUGGUUUCUGGGAUCUCAGUAAUGAUUAAUAGGGAUAGUUGGGGGCAUUAGUAUUUAAUUGUCAGAGGUGAAAUUCUUGGAUUUAUGAAAGACUAACUUCUGCGAAAGCAUUUGCCAAGGAUGGUUUCAUUAAUCAAGAACGAAAGUUAGGGGAUCGAAGACGAUCAGAUACCGUCGUAGUCUUAACCAUAAACGAUGCCGACCAGCGAUUGGGAGACGUUACAUGGAUGACUCCCCCAGCAGCUUGCGAGAAAUCACAAGUCUUUGGGUUCCGGGGGGAGUAUGGUCGCAAGGCUGAAACUUAAAGGAAUUGACGGAAGGGCACCACCAGGAGUGGAGCCUGCGGCUUAAUUUGACCCAACACGGGGAAACUUACCAGGUCCAGACAUAGUAAGGAUUGACAGAUUUGAGAGCUCUUUCUUGAUUCUAUGGGUGGUGGUGCAUGGCCGUUCUUAGUUGGUGGAGUGAUUUGUCUGGUUAAUUCCGUUAACGAACGAGACCUUAACCUGCUAAAUAUGUCACUGGUAGACUUCUGCCAAAACAGGUGGGUGUCUAGGGGAAAGUUUCGAUGGACUCCGACGCAUUCAUCUGUGGAUGACUACCAGGAUGUACUUCUUAGAGGGACUAUCUGUAUCAAAGCAGAUGGAAGUUUGAGGCAAUAACAGGUCUGUGAUGCCCUAGAUGUUCUGGGCCGCACGCGCGCUACACUGACAAGUUCAACGAGUUUAACACCUUGCUCGAUAGGGCUGGGUAAUCUUUGAAAAACUUGUCGUGAUGGGGAUAGAUCAUUGUAAUUAUUGGUCUUCAACGAGGAAUUCCUAGUAAGCGUGAGUCAUCAGCUCGCGUUGAUUACGUCCCUGCCCUUUGUACACACCGCCCGUCGCUCCUACCGAUUGAAUGAUCCGGUGAAAUGUUGGGAGCUGGGGUCUUUUGGCGGCGGGGCAACUCGUCGUCAGGGAUUCUGCAAACUUCAUUAAACCUUAUCAUUUAGA
rnacentral:rRNA from 1 species